rnacentral:lncRNA from 1 species
AUGGUGGCUACCUUUGGUUGUCUAGUCCCUGAGGAAAGUAUGCAGUCAGUACUUGCUCCAUCCCAGGCACCAGACAGCCACACCCCUAGCCAGAGCAAGCCAGGGUGAGAACCUGGCUGCCGUCUUCGCCCCCACUUCCGUUUUCCAUUAUAUUCCCAGUGUGAUCCCUAGUGCUGUCGACCUAUAGAAGCUACACUCACCUAGGAGAAGGGCUUCUGGGUAUAGCUGUGGGGGAUUAACUGGUUGGCGAAGACCUGCUGGCUGGGAUGCUGAACUAUACAGAGAAGGCAGGUGAGCAGCCCGGGCCGUUCGUGGCUUCCUCCGGACUGCAGCGGUGAUAAAGCCAGCUGUUUCCGGCUCCAGCUGCCUCCACCUCUCACCCUGACCCUCCACCUCCCACGGUACCCUGAACUGUGAGCUAAAAUAAAUUCUUUCUCCC